rnacentral:tRNA from 1 species
UGAGGUGUAGCCAAGUUGGUAAGGCGCCCGGCUGUUAACCGGGUCACCGCAGGUUCGAAUCCUGCCACCUCAGCCA